GGCUGUGAUCCCUUCAGCUCUGAAGCUAGACUGGGUCAGUAUUUGGAUGGGACACCUCCAAGGAAAAACAGGCUGUUGCAGGAA
rnacentral:rRNA from 1 species